GANUUCACACCCNUUNUCCGUUGAAACCACAAAUUGGCUCAUUAAAUCAGCUAUAAUUUCUUAGAUCUUACACAGCUACUUGGAUAACUGUAGUAAUUCUAGAGCUAAUACAUGCCCAUUAUGCCGCAGCUUUAUUGUUGUGGUGGGUUUAUCAGUUCAAAUCCAACACGGUUUCGGCCGGUUAAUUUGAUGACUCUGGAUAAUUACUCUAAUCGAAUGACAUCCAAGGAAGGCAGCAGGCGCGCAAAUUACCCAUUCCCGACUCGGGGAGGGUAGUGACGAUAAUAACGGUGCAGAGCUACUUUNAGUUNUGNNACCGGAANGAGAACAAUCUA
rnacentral:rRNA from 1 species